UACGUAGGGAGCAAGCGUUGCCCUGAUUUACUGGGUGUAAAGGGUGCGUAGGCGGCUUUGCAAGUCAGAUGUGAAAUCUAUGGGCUCAACCCAUAAACUGCAUUUGAAACUGUAGAGCUUGAGUGAAGUAGAGGCAGGCGGAAUUCCCCGUGUAGCGGUGAAAUGCGUAGAGAUGGGGAGGAACACCAGUGGCGAAGGCGACUUUCUGGUCUGUAACUGACGCUGAUGUGCGAAAGCGUGGGGAUCAAACAGGA
rnacentral:misc_RNA from 1 species